rnacentral:rRNA from 1 species
GGUUAACCGAAUAGGGGAGCCGAAGGGAAACCGAGUCUUAACCGGGCGUUAAGUUGCAGGGUAUAGACCCGAAACCCGGUGAUCUAGCCAUGGGCAGGUUGAAGGUUGGGUAACACUAACUGGAGGACCGAACCGACUAAUGUUGAAAAAUUAGCGGAUGACUUGUGGCUGGGGGUGAAAGGCCAAUCAAACCGGGAGAUAGCUGGUUCUCCCCGAAAGCUAUUUAGGUAGCGCCUCGUGAAUUCAUCUCCGGGGGUAGAGCACUGUUUCGGCAAGGGGGUCAUCCCGACUUACCAACCCGAUGCAAACUGCGAAUACCGGAGAAUGUUAUCACGGGAGACACACGGCGGGUGCUAACGUCCGUCGUGAAGAGGGAAACAACCCAGACCGCCAGCUAAGGUCCCAAAGUCAUGGUUAAGUGGGAAACGAUGUGGGAAGGCCCAGACAGCCAGGAUGUUGGCUUAGAAGCAGCCAUCAUUUAAAGAAAGCGUAAUAGCUCACUGGUCGAGUCGGCCUGCGCGGAAGAUGUAACGGGGCUAAACCAUGCACCGAAGCUGCGGCAGCGACACUGUGUGUUGUUGGGUAGGGGAGCGUUCUGUAAGCCUGUGAAGGUGUGCUGUGAGGCAUGCUGGAGGUAUCAGAAGUGCGAAUGCUGACAUAAGUAACGAUAAAGCGGGUGAAAAGCCCGCUCGCCGGAAGACCAAGGGUUCCUGUCCAACGUUAAUCGGGGCAGGGUGAGUCGACCCCUAAGGCGAGGCCGAAAGGCGUAGUCGAUGGGAAACAGGUUAAUAUUCCUGUACUUGGUGUUACUGCGAAGGGGGGACGGAGAAGGCUAUGUUGGCCGGGCGACGGUUGUCCCGGUUUAAGCGUGUAGGCUGGUUUUCCAGGCAAAUCCGGAAAAUCAAGGCUGAGGCGUGAUGACGAGGCACUACGGUGCUGAAGCAACAAAUGCCCUGCUUCCAGGAAAAGCCUCUAAGCAUCAGGUAACAUCAAAUCGUACCCCAAACCGACACAGGUGGUCAGGUAGAGAAUACCAAGGCGCUUGAGAGAACUCGGGUGAAGGAACUAGGCAAAAUGGUGCCGUAACUUCGGGAGAAGGCACGCUGAUAUGUAGGUGAAGUCCCUCGCGGAUGGAGCUGAAAUCAGUCGAAGAUACCAGCUGGCUGCAACUGUUUAUUAAAAACACAGCACUGUGCAAACACGAAAGUGGACGUAUACGGUGUGACGCCUGCCCGGUGCCGGAAGGUUAAUUGAUGGGGUCAGCGCAAGCGAAGCUCUUGAUCGAAGCCCCGGUAAACGGCGGCCGUAACUAUAACGGUCCUAAGGUAGCGAAAUUCCUUGUCGGGUAAGUUCCGACCUGCACGAAUGGCGUAAUGAUGGCCAGGCUGUCUCCACCCGAGACUCAGUGAAAUUGAACUCGCUGUGAAGAUGCAGUGUACCCGCGGCAAGACGGAAAGACCCCGUGAACCUUUACUAUAGCUUGACACUGAACAUUGAGCCUUGAUGUGUAGGAUAGGUGGGAGGCUUUGAAGUGUGGACGCCAGUCUGCAUGGAGCCGACCUUGAAAUACCACCCUUUAAUGUUUGAUGUUCUAACGUGGACCCGUGAUCCGGGUUGCGGACAGUGUCUGGUGGGUAGUUUGACUGGGGCGGUCUCCUCCUAAAGAGUAACGGAGGAGCACGAAGGUUGGCUAAUCCUGGUCGGACAUCAGGAGGUUAGUGCAAUGGCAUAAGCCAGCUUGACUGCGAGCGUGACGGCGCGAGCAGGUGCGAAAGCAGGUCAUAGUGAUCCGGUGGUUCUGAAUGGAAGGGCCAUCGCUCAACGGAUAAAAGGUACUCCGGGGAUAACAGGCUGAUACCGCCCAAGAGUUCAUAUCGACGGCGGUGUUUGGCACCUCGAUGUCGGCUCAUCACAUCCUGGGGCUGAAGUAGGUCCCAAGGGUAUGGCUGUUCGCCAUUUAAAGUGGUACGCGAGCUGGGUUUAGAACGUCGUGAGACAGUUCGGUCCCUAUCUGCCGUGGGCGCUGGAGAACUGAGGGGGGCUGCUCCUAGUACGAGAGGACCGGAGUGGACGCAUCACUGGUGUUCGGGUUGUCAUGCCAAUGGCACUGCCCGGUAGCUAAAUGCGGAAGAGAUAAGUGCUGAAAGCAUCUAAGCACGAAACUUGCCCCGAGAUGAGUUCUCCCUGACCCUUUAAGGGUCCUGAAGGAACGUUGAAGACGACGACGUUGAUAGGCCGGGUGUGUAAGCGCAGCGAUGCGUUGAGCUAACCGGUACUAAUGAACCGUGAGGCUUAACCUUACAACGCCGAAGGUGUUU